GAAUUUUGGACAAUGGGCGAAAGCCUGAUCCAGCAAUGCCGCUUGCAGUAUGAAGGCCUUCGGGUUGUAAACUGCUUUUUUACGGAACGAAAAGCUUUGGUUUACUACCCUUGAGUCAUUACGGUACCGUAAGAAUAAGCACCGGCUAACUCCGUGCAGCAGCCGUGGUAAUACGUAGGGGGCAAGCGUGAAUCGGAAUUACUGGGCGUAAAGCGUGCGCAGGCGGGUUUGUAAGACAGAGGUGAAAUCCCCGGGCUCAACCUGGGAACUGCCUUUGUGACUGCAAGGCUAGAGUACGGCAGAGGGGGGUGGAAUUCCGCGUGUAGCAGUGAAAUGCGUAGAUAUGCGGAGGAACACCGAUGGCGAAGGCAACCCCCUGGGCCUGUACUGACGCUCAUGCUCGAAAGCGUGGGGAGCAAACA
rnacentral:rRNA from 1 species